rnacentral:rRNA from 1 species
UACGUAGGUGGCAAGCGUUGUCCGGAUUUACUGGGCGUAAAGAGCGCGCAGGCGGUCGUUCAAGUCGAGUGUGAAAGCCCCCGGCUCAACUGGGGAGGGUCACUCGAUACUGAUCGACUCGAAGGCAGAAGAGGGAAGCGGAAUUCCCGGUGUAGUGGUGAAAUGCGUAGAUAUCAAGCAGAACACCUGCGGCGAAGGCGGCCUUCUGGACGAUGACUGACGCUGAGACGCGAAAGCGUGGGGAGCAAACAGG